AACGAACGCUGGCGGCAGGCCUAACACAUGCAAGUCGAGCGGGCGUAGCAAUACGUCAGCGGCGGACGGGUGAGUAACACGUGGGAAUAUGCCUUUCGGUUUGGAACAACUCGGGGAAACCCGUGCUAAUUCCGGAUACGCCCUUAGGGGGAAGAUUUAUCGCCGAAAGAUUAGCCCGCGUCCGAUUAGCUAGUUGGUGAGGUAACGGCCCACCAAGGCGACGAUCGGUAGCUGGUUUGAGAGAACGACCAGCCACACUGGGACUGAGACACCGGCCCAGACUCCUGCGGGAGGCAGCAGUGGGGAAUCUUGGACAAUGGAGGAAACUCUGAUCCAGCCAUGCCGCGUGAGUGAUGAA
rnacentral:rRNA from 1 species